rnacentral:rRNA from 1 species
UACAGAGGUCCCGAGCGUUGUUCGGAUUCACUGGGCGUAAAGGGUGCGUAGGUGGCAGGGUAAGUCGGAUGUGAAAGCUCGGAGCUCAACUCCGAAAUGGCAUUGGAAACUACCCAGCUCGAGGGUUGGAGGGGGGACUGGAAUGCUUGGUGUAGCAGUGAAAUGCGUAGAUAUCAAGCGGAACACCAGUGGCGAAGGCGGGUCUCUGGACAGUUCCUGACGCUGAGGCACGAAGGUCAGGGGAGCAAACGGG